UUUUUCUUGAUUAUCCCCUUAACGCAGUUACGGCGUUCUAUGCCGCCCAGCAUUAAAUGGGCUUUAAAGCCAUUGCGGCGGCAUAGAACGCUGUAAUGGCUGAAGCCCCUGGAGCGGCCGGUAUACUAGCCUUCCCGGCUAGUGUUUGUGACUAAGUGGCUACUAAAAAAGACUAAACAUUCCCCACUUUCAAUACCUUGAGUUAUCUACUUUUUCAAAUGGUAUGCCAUUAUGGGGGUAAUUCUCAUUCUUGGGCUACCACACCGUCUCAAAGGUAACAUUAAUAAUGUGGCAAAUUUCAAUUUGAAAAUGGAAUGUUCUAUAUUUGACCCUGUAACUUUCCAAAACACCAUAAAACCUGUUAAUGGGGGGUACUGUUGUACUUGUGAGACAUCGUUGAUUACAAAUAUAUGCAUUUUUUUGCAGUAAAACCUAACAGUAU